rnacentral:lncRNA from 1 species
AAUAUGAUGUGUACCUGAGAGAAAAAAAUUAUUGAAGAUGUCAGCAGUUUUGUGUAGGAAGAAUUGGAUUCUGAAGAAAUAUUUCAAACUGUAGUUUGUAAAGUGAAGAUUGUGGAACCCUGACCAGAGCUUGUUUUGAUGCUUCUAAUGCAAGAGACAAACUUUCAUGGAUUUGGGG